rnacentral:rRNA from 1 species
CAAGUAGUGAGCAUGUGGUUAAUUCGAAGAUACGCGCAGACCUUACCAACACUUGACAUGUUCGUCGCGACUUUAAGAGAUUAAAGUUUUCGGUUCGGCCGGACGAAACACAGGUGCUGCAUGGCUGUCGUCAGCUCGUGUCGUGAGAUGUUGGGUUAAGUCCCGCAACGAGCGCAACCCUCACUUUUAGUUGCCAUCAUUUAGUUGGGCACUCUGAAAGAACUGCCAGUGAUAAGCUGGAGGAAGGUGGGGAUGACGUCAAGUCCUCAUGGCCCUUACGUGUUGGGCUACACACGUGCUACAAUGGUAUCUACAACAGGAAGCAAAACGGCGACGUUAAGCAAAUCCUUAAAAGAUACCUCAGUUCGGAUUGCACUCUGCAACUCGAGUGCAUGAAGCUGGAAUUACUAGUAAUCGUGGAUCAGCGUGCCACGGUGAAUGCGUUCCCGGGUCUUGUACACACCGCCCGUCACACCAUGGGAGUUGGUUCUACCUUAAGGCAAGGUUUAAAACCCUUGACCACGGUAUAGUCAGCGACUGGGGUGAAGUCGUAACAAGGUA